rnacentral:rRNA from 1 species
UACGAAGGUGGCAAGCGUUGUUCGGAUUUACUGGGCGUACAGGGAGCGUAGGCGGUUGGAUAAGCCCUCCGUGAAAUCUCCAGGCUUAACCUGGAAAGUGCAGAGGGGACUGUUCAGCUAGAGGAUGGGAGAGGAGCGCGGAAUUCCCGGUGUAGCGGUGAAAUGCGUAGAGAUCGGGAGGAAGGCCGGUGGCGAAGGCGGCGCUCUGGAACAUUUCUGACGCUGAGGCUCGAAAGCGUGGGUAGCAAACAGG